rnacentral:rRNA from 1 species
GAUGAACGCUGGCGGCGUGCCUAAUACAUGCAAGUCGAGCGAACAGACGAGGAGCUUGCUCCUCUGACGUUAGCGGCGGACGGGUGAGUAACACGUGGAUAACCUACCUAUAAGACUGGGAUAACUUCGGGAAACCGGAGCUAAUACCGGAUAAUAUAUUGAACCGCAUGGUUCAAUAGUGAAAGACGGUUUUGCUGUCCCUUAUAGAUGGAUCCGCGCCGCAUUAGCUAGUUGGUAAGGUAACGGCUUACCAAGGCAACGAUGCGUAGCCGACCUGAGAGGGUGAUCAGCCACACUGGAACUGAGACACGGUCCAGACUCCUACGGGAGGCAGCAGUAGGGAAUCUUCCGCAAUGGGCGAAAGCCUGACGGAGCAAUGCCGCGUGAGGGAUGAAGGCCUUCGGAUCGUAAAACGCUGUUAUUAGGGAAGAACAAAUGUGUAAGUAACUAUGCACGUCUUGACGGUACCUAAUCAGAAAGCCACGGCUAACUACGUG